rnacentral:rRNA from 1 species
AGUCAAUAGAUACCCGGGUAGUCCACGCCGUAAACGAUGAGUACUAGGUGUAGGAGGUAUCGACUCCUUCUGUGCCGCAGUUAAACACAAUAAGUACUCCGCCUGGGAAGUACGGUCGCAAGAUUAAAACUCAAAGGAAUUGACGGGGGCCCGCACAAGCAGCGGAGCAUGUGGUUUAAUUCGAAGCAACGCGAAGAACCUUACCUAGACUUGACAUCUCCAGAAUAGUGUAGAGAUACAUGAACGCCCGUUCGGGGCGAGGAAGACAGGUGGUGCAUGGUUGUCGUCAGCUCGUGCCGUGAGAUGUUGGGUUAACGUCCGCAACGAGCGCAACCCUUAUUACUUAGUGCUACCAUUAAGUCGAGCACUCUAGUGAGACUCGCCCGGGGUUAA